rnacentral:rRNA from 1 species
AUUGAACGCUGGCGGCAGGCUUAACACAUGCAAGUCGAGCGGUAGCACAGGGGAGCUUGCUCCCUGGGUGACGAGCGGCGGACGGGUGAGUAAUGUCUGGGAAACUGCCUGAUGGAGGGGGAUAACUACUGGAAACGGUAGCUAAUACCGCAUAACGUCGCAAGACCAAAGAGGGGGACCUUCGGGCCUCUUGCCAUCAGAUGUACCCAGAUGGGAUUAGCUAGUAGGUGGGGUAAUGGCUCACCUAGGCGACGAUCCCUAGCUGGUCUGAGAGGAUGACCAGCCACACUGGAACUGAGACACGGUCCAGACUCCUACGGGAGGCAGCAGUGGGGAAUAUUGCACAAUGGGCGCAAGCCUGAUGCAGCCAUGCCGCGUGUGUGAAGAAGGCCUUCGGGUUGUAAAGCACUUUCAGCGAGGAGGAAGGUGGUGAGCUUAAUACGUUCAUCAAUUGACGUUACUCGCAGAAGAAGCACCGGCUAACUCCGUG